rnacentral:rRNA from 1 species
GACUAUAUGUUCAACGGCCGCGGUAUUCUGACCGUGCAAAGGUAGCGUAAUCAUUUGUCUUUUAAAUAAGGACCAGUAUGAAUGGCAUCACGAGAACUAAUCUGUCUCCCUCCCCCAAUCAGUGAAACUGAUCUCCCCGUGCAGAAGCGGGGAUAAAACCAUAAGACGAGAAGACCCUGUGGAGCUUCAAAUCAAAAAUCAACUGCUUCACCCACCUGAACCAAGGACACACUUAAACAGACCUGAUUAAGAUUUUUAGCUGGGGCGGCUGUGGAGAAAAAAAAAUCCUCCACGAAGAUUCAUGCUUAAAGCUACCGCUAAAGGCAUUAAUAAACUUAACUUUAAUUGACCCAAUUUUUGAUCAACGGACCAAGUUACCCCAGGGAUAACAGCGCAAUCCACUUUCARAGUCC